AGGAUUCACUUCCCCUCCUAAAACCCCGGUAGCAAGCGCCAGCCGCCGUCUCCAGCCGGUUAUGAGUUAUGACUUAUUCGACGACAAGAAGAUUUCGAGGACCAGAGGUUAGACUUUCAUAAUGGACGCUCUUCUUGAGAUGAUUUUGAUCGAUUCUGGUCUUGGAACACGAAUCUAUCAGUCUCCUUCUUGAUCAGCUUCAUCCCGACCGAUCUUGUCGUCAUUCUCUGAUUCUCCUCAGCAUUGAAACCUACUACAAUCCCCCUUGCGGGAGCACCGGUUAGGCUGUACGCAUGACCAAUGCACAGUAGCAUUCUUACCUAUUCACGAAACAAGCACAAACAGCUUUGGUAGCUGAGAAGCUAUAUAUGAAAUUACAUGUUAUUGUGAGUUGGCAAAAAAUCUAUUCAAUCUCAAGUUGGGCAGACAGGAAGAAGAUGGGUCAUGGGAGUAAUGUUGCGGUUGGAGGAUAGGUUUCACUACUUGUACAAAGGAAAAGUUUUCUUCAACUACACGUUGUAUACAAUCGAGGAAGUGCCGCAUAUCUAUGUAAGGAUAUUUUGCUGAUGGCUGCAGAUGCUCGCCCAAUUCAGGUCAGGUGCUCUUGACUUCUUCUGCCCGUUUAAUUCGUUACAAUACAGAACCCAGGCAGAGAUUAAGAUAAGCACAGAGGGAGGG